rnacentral:guide_RNA from 1 species
AUAUAAAAUGAUAACACUAGAGAUUUGUAGUAUGAGAUAUGAUGAUAUUUAAUAUAU